GAUGAACGCUAGCGGCAGGCUUAACACAUGCAAGUCGAGGGGUAACAGGGAAGAGCUUGCUUUUCCGCUGACGACCGGCGCACGGGUGAGUAACGCGUAUAGAACCUACCUUUUACAGGGGAAUAGCCCAGAGAAAUUUGGAUUAAUGCCCUAUAGUAUUAUUGAAUGGCAUCAUUUAGUAAUUAAACAUUUAUGGGUAAAAGAUGGCUAUGCGUUCUAUUAGCUAGAUGGUAAGGUAACGGCUUACCAUGGCAACGAUAGAUAGGGGUCCUGAGAGGGAGAUCCCCCACACUGGUACUGAGACACGGACCAGACUCCUACGGGAGGCAGCAGUGAGGAAUAUUGGACAAUGGAGGCAACUCUGAUCCAGCCAUGCCGCGUGCAGGAAGACGGCCCUAUGGGUUGUAAACUGCUUUUAUACGGGAAGAAACCCAACUACGUGUAGUUGGCUGACGGUACCGUAAGAAUAAGCACCGGCUAACUCCGUGCCAGCAGCCGCGGUAAUACGGAGGGUGCAAGCGUUAUCCGGAAUCAUUGGGUUUAAAGGGUCCGUAGGCGGGCUAAUAAGUCAGGGGUGAAAUCCAACAGCUUAACUGUUGAACUGCCUUUGAUACUGUUAGUCUUGAAUUAUAUGGAAGUAGAUAGAAUGUGUAGUGUAGCGGUGAAAUGCUUAGAGAUUACAC
rnacentral:rRNA from 1 species